UACGUAGGGUGCAGGCGUUAAUCGGAAUUACUGGGCGUAAAGCGUGCGCAGGCGGUUUGCUAAGACAGGUGUGAAAUCCCCCGGGCUUAACCUGGGGAACUGCGCUUGUAACUGGCAAGCUAGAGUGUGGCAGAGGGGGGGUGGAAUUCCACGUGUAGCAGUGAAAUGCGUAGAGAUGUGGAGGAACACCGAUGGCGAAGGCAGCCCCCUGGGCUAACACUGACGCUCAGGCACGAAAGCGUGGGGA
rnacentral:rRNA from 1 species